rnacentral:lncRNA from 1 species
CCGACUAAAGUGGGAGAGACAGACACCCGCUAGCCACCUUAUGCAUCAAGUGCAUGUCAGUCGGUGGAACCUGUCUCAUGUAAGAGUACGUGUAAGGUCAGUCCGGGCCGCUUCAUCCCACAAUGCCGCUGAAUCAAGAUAAGACUAGUAACGGCAAGCAAAUUGAACAAAUCAUCGCCCACAACUUCUUUGUGUUCUACUCGUGCAUAGAAUCUACGCAUAGACCUAGCUCAUGAUGCCACUGUUGGGGAACGUAGCAAUAAUUCAAAAUUUUAUACGCAUCACCAAGAUCAAUCUAUGGAGUCAUCUAGCAACGAGAGAGAGGAGUGCAUCUACAUACCCUUGUAGAUCGCGAGCGGAAGCGUUCAAGUGAACAAGGUUGAUGGAGUCGUACUCGUCGUGAUCCAAAUCACCGAUGAUCCUAGCGCCGAACGGACGGCACCUCCGCGUUCAACACACGUACGGAGCAGCGACGUCUCCUCCUUCUUGAUCCAGCAAGGGGAGAGGAGAGGUUGAUGGAGAUCCAGCAGCACAACGGCGUGGUGGUGGAAGUAGCGCGAUACCAACAGGGCUUCGCCAAGCGCUGCGGGAGGAGGGAGAUGUGUCACGGGAGGGAGAGGGAGGCGCCAGGGCUUAGCGUAUGGCUGUCCUCCCCCCCACAUAUAUAUAGGGGCAAGGGAGAGGGGGGGCGCAGCCUUGGCCCUUCCUCCAAGGAAGGGUGCGGCCAGGGAGGAGUCCAUCGUCCCCAAGGCACCUAGGAAGUGCCUUCCCCUUUUAGGACUCUCCCUUUCCCUUAUCUCUUGGCGCAUGGGCCUCUUGGGGCUGGUGCCCUUGGCCCAUAUAGGCCAAGGCGCACACCCCUACAGCCCAUGUGGCCCCCCGGGGCAGGUGGACCCCCUUGGUGGACCCCCGGACCCCUUUCGGCACUCCCGGUACAAUACCGAUAAUGCGCGAAACUUUUCCGGCGACCAAAAUAAGACUUCCCAUAUAUAAAUCUUUACCUCCGGACCAUUCCGGAACUCCUCGUGACAUCCGGGAUCUCAUCCGGGACUCCGAACAACUUUCGGGUUACCGCAUACUAAUAUCUCUACAACCCUAGCGUCACCGAACCUUAAGUGUGUAGACCCUACGGGUUCGGGAGACACACAGACAUGACCGAGACGACUCUCCGGUCAAUAACCAACAGCCGGAUCUGGAUACCCAUGUUGGCUCCCACAUGCUCCUCGAUGAUCUCAUCGGAUGAACCACGAUGUCGAGGAUUCAAUCAAUCCCGUAUACAAUUCCCUUUGUCUAUCGGUAUGUUACUUGCCCGAGAUUCGAUUGUCGGUAUCCCAAUACCUCGUUCAAUCUCGUUACCGACAAGUCACUUUACUCGUACCGUAAUGCAUGAUCCCGUGACUAACUCCUUAGUCACAUUGAGCUCAUUAUGAUGAUGCAUUACCGAGUGGGCCCAGAGAUACCUCUCCGUCAUACGGAGUGACAAAUCCCAGUCUCGAUUCGUGCCAACCCAACAGACACUUUCGGAGAUACCUGUAGUGCACCUUUAUAGCCACCCAGUUACGUUGUGACGUUUGGUACACCCAAAGCAUUCCUACGGUAUCCGGGAGUUGCACAAUCGCAUGGUCUAAGGAAAUGAUACUUGACAUUAGAAAAGCUCUAGCAAACGAACUACACGAUCUUGUGCUAUGCUUAGGAUUGGGUCUUGUCCAUCACAUCAUUCUCCUAAUGAUGUGAUCCCGUUAUCAAUGACAUCCAAUGUCCAUGGUCAGGAAACCAUAACCAUCUAUUGAUCAACGAGCUAGUCAACUAGAGGCUUACUAGGGACAUGUUGUGGUCUAUGUAUUCACACAUGUAUUACGGUUUCCAGUUAAUACAAUUAUAGCAUGAACAAUAGACAAUUAUCAUGAACAAGGAAAUAUAAUAAUAACCAUUUUAUUAUUGCCUCUAGGGCAUAUUUCCAAGAGAUUUCAACACGCGGUCCAACGCACGUGAGUUCAUAGAGGAAGUUGUGAAGAAAGCCGCCAAGAAGUACAAGUGAUCACGUGGUGCUCCAAACCGAACGCCUACCUUACAUUCUGUUGCCGAGGAAUGUAAGGUAUUACCUUGUUUUUUCAAAACUAUGUCCGUGUAAUAUGCUAUGACUGCAUCUCCCCGUAGCCUAGUAUACAGUGGUGGCGUGUGAGUGACAUUUGAAUAGUUUGUAAUAUAUGUGUGGAUGUGAACCUACUUAGGUGUGACAGCAGAUACGUUUAUGUGUUUUCAGUAUUAUUAUGCGCUUGUGGGUUGGUAGUACCGGUAUGGUGUUUUGAAUGCGUCCUUGAUGUCUGAAAACAUGGCAAAUGUAGUUGAUCAGUCAUGGUUAGUGAAAGUUAUCGUUCUUUCUUGUUUGGCUUUUUGGGUUUUUUGCACUGCUAACUGUACCGGCUAGCAUGGUAGUUUGAUCACGCAGCCGUAACCUGUGUGGUUGCUGCACGAGACCGUUUCAGCUUGUUUCCCAUAGUUUGCACCACAAUACAAUAUGUGUGACUAAAAUGCGCUGACUGAACAUGGAAAUCUAUGCGACGAAGAUCCAGUACAACUAACAUGGCAGAUUCAGUAAAAAUAACAUGGCAAAUUCAGUAGAAAUGGCAUGGCAGAUUUAGUAGAAAUGGUAUGGCAGAUUCAGUAGAAAUUGCAUGGCAGAUUCAGUUCAAGUAACAUGGCAAAUUCAGUGCCAUACACGUGGCAACUGCAGCUAUUCCUUCAUGGCAUUUUUACUUCAAAUUCUGAUGCCCCUAAAGGGUCAUUCUCCAAUUUUUACAAAAUUUAUAACAUCUAGAUUACAAAAAAAUGUCACCAUGGACCAAGUCACAGUGCUCCAAUGUUGUUUACGGAUUGCCCGUCCCUUUCUUUGGUUUCUUGUGUUUUGCUUGAAUCUCCAAUCCCGAUUUGUAUCUUAUCUCUUUUGGACGCCCUUUCGUGAUGGAACGGGGCAGGUUCCUAACCUGUGUUGGUGUGCUUGCUGUUCCAGAUCCUACCUCCGAGUUUUCAGAUGAUGGCCCUAUGGACGAAGGCACACUUGAUGUGUGGGGAAACCUGUGUAAGGCUUCCUCAGCUUUCCUCUUCUUGAUCUCAUCAAGCUCUCCUUUGAGGGCCUUCCUGUGUUUUUCUGCGACCCUUGCUGUCUCAUCACUCUUGCACGCUUCAUCAAUUAUUUCAGCAUAGUUCUUUGUCAACAAAACGUGCCUCGCGGCUUCCAUGGUUGACUCUGGUCUCUCGUCAUGCACGGCCAAAACUGCGUUUGAUGUUUGCGGCGCCAAUGCGUCGUCAGCGUCCCAAGUCCAUCGCGGCCUUAUGAAAUGGCGGGGCAUUCGUGUCACAGCGUUCAUGUCCAUUACUUUUAGAAUGUGACAGCACACAAUCCCGUCCCAUUCGAAUUUGCAGCAUUGGCAGUAGUAUUCGCCUUCGCUUAUCGAUGCCCUCACAAAGUAGUUCCUUCCCUUGUCCGGGUCUUCAGGUCCUGAAUCCGACAUGCCCAGGAUAGAACACACCUUGAACGUAUGUUCAUCCACCUGGAAAGCCGUGUACAUGCUGGCACGCUUUAUUUCUUCCUGGAAUCUGCAAGUUUUGUGUGGUUUUGUUAAACUCUUGUGUGAAGUUUUUUGUAGCACCUUUUGUUGUUGUGGCCAAUGGAAUUACAAUUCGUUCAAACAUGGCAACUACAGUUCAUUAAACAUGGCAACUGCAGUUGAGUAAAGAUGGCAACUGCAGUUCAUUAAACAUGGCAACUGCAGUUCAUUUAAACAUGGCAACUACAUAACAACUUCAUUUUGGCAUUUGCAUUCCAUACCAUCAUGGCCAGUGGAAUUACAGUUCAUUAAACAUGGCAACUGCAGUUCAUCAAACAUGGCAAAUGCAGUUGAGCAAACAUGGUACUUCAGUUGAGUAAACAUGGCAAACUGCAGUUCAUUAAGCAUGGCAAACUGUAGUUCAUUAAGCAUGGCAACUACAUAUCAUGGUUACUCUAUACCUAAUGGCUACUUUUCAACAAAAUCAUCAUUUUCAAAUAAGCAUUUCAACUGCAUUGCAUUCUACAUGGCACCUAGUACCUUCAUGAUUGUGCAAAUAAGAUUGUAACACAACUGACUUACUUGUUAAAAAUCUUGUUGGUGUAUAUCUUGAUCAUCUGCCUCUCCAUUGGUAAAUACGUUAGCAAUUUUGGCUGCUUAAGCGCGGUGUUUGCUUCUUGCUGUAGCUCGGAUCCUAGUAUUUUUUGUUGCAAAGCGGUGUACUGCUUGGCAAACUGUAGCAAUGAGUUGCCAGGGCUCACGUACCGCUUCAAAAUAGCAUUGAACCCCUCACUGCGCUGUGUAGUUUGCAGAAACGGGAAGAAGCACUGCAUGAAGUAGGCCGACACCCAGUACAUUCGCUUCUCCCACAAGCUAGCAAGCGUCUCGUGGUCUUGGACUUGAUAUGUUUCAAUCAUAGCCAUCCAACUCCUUUCAAACUCCUCCACUGUCAAGCUGUGGUCCACGCAUAGCUCGAAUGCCUUGUGCAGCUCUGGACAGUCAGCAAAGAACGGUCCUAGCAUCUCCUCAGCCUUCUUUAUAAUGUGCCACCUGCAGUGCCUGUGCACUGCCAACGGAAAGACCUCCUCUUUGCCUGCACGCAUGCUAAAAUCCUGGUCUAUUAUUAUGUUCAUCAGAGCAAGUCCACCCAUGCACUCCAAGAAGGUCUUGAACAACCAAGUGUACCCAUCUGUGUCUUCGUUCCGAAUGAGCCCGCAUCCGAACUGCAAAUGAAUGAUGUGGUUAUUUAUUCCUAUGAAUGGAGCGCAUGGCAUCUUGUACAUAUUAGUGAGAUAUGUCGCGUCGAAUGAAAUGCAGUCUCGGAAAUGUUUGUAGGCUCUUCUUGCAGCACCAUCCACCCAAUACAUGUUCCUGACACGGUCCUCAUCGUCCAAUCUUAUCCUGUAGAAGAAAUCUUGAUCUUCUUUCGCUUUCUCAUCGAAGUAGGCUAUCGUGGCUUCUAUGUCAGCCAACUUGCUUUCUCUAUGGUACUUUGCCUUUAGGUUUGUAACGUCUGCUGGUAUGUAGGGCAUGCUACUCAGAGACCCCUUUUUGCUGUGGAUGAGGGAGAGUAUCUGCACCAUUCUUGAUGGACCGACGUUACAAUCAUGUAGCAGGUUUAUGAAUUUCUUCUCGAGGGGGGUGAAUCCUCUGUGGGCGGUCAGAAAUUUUACCAGGUCAAACUUCUUUAUUAGCUCGUGGUUGUGCUCGUCAAAAUAUUCAGUGACCACCCACUGUGCUCCAUCUACGUUCAGCUUACACCGGACAGGGCAUUCCGUCUUGACAAUGAUACCUCUCUUUCGUUCCGGAACGACAGGCGCAUCACCUUUGCCCUUCUUGUUUCUUCGUGCCUUGUAGCACCUCAUCUCACCUCUGCUGUACUCGUUAGUUUUUUUUAAUUUUCCUAUGGUAUUCGGUGUUGACCGCAAACCCAUGGAACUUUGCAUAUGUCUGGUAGAAUUCCUUUGCAUCUUCAAACGAAUCAAAUCUCUGCCCAAGAUACGGUGGCUGGGGUACCAUGAUUUCUGAUUGCCCACCAUCUUCAUCCCCUUGUGCUUCGUCAUCGGUUUCAUCAUUCACUUCAGUAUCGGCGGCUGUUUCAUCUGCUUGAGUGUUGCUUGUGCUGGUGUGCACAGGUGUGCUUGUCGGUAUUGCUGGCACGAUUGCCAUUUCCGACACUGACUCGGCAUUGUUUGUGGCAUGAGUGUUGGCUGGCUGGUGGAACGCGUCUUCCGUGCGCUCAGAGCUCCCCGCAGUAGAUGUCCCCGCGUCGCUGUUAAUUGUAGUUAAAGGUCCUGCAAUAAAAAAUCAGGUACGAGCGUAAGAUUUUGCUUGAAUGUCAUGUUUAUCGUAACGGAGUACAGCAACUGCAUGUGAUUUUGCAUGACAUCAUUCACACAGCAAGCCGUGAAUCUGCAUAUGGCCAUGCAUGGCAACUGUAAUUCUCCAGUAAUGGCAGCUACAGUCCAACCACAUGGCAACUACCGUUGCCAACACAUGGCAACCAGCGUCUUUUAGCAUCAGAACUUGUAGCAUAUAGCAAUGGCAGAUAUAGUCCAACACACAUGGCAACUACUGUUGCCAACACAUGGCAACCAGCGUCUUUCAGCAUCAGAACUUGCAGCAUAUAGCAAUGGCAGAUACAGUCCAACAUACAUGGCAACUACUGUUGCCAACACAUGGCAACCAGUAUACUCUAGCAUCAAAACUUGUAUUCUAGGCUUGAGCUCAAUACGCAAAUGUGAACAAUCAUGAAUGUUGCACACACUCUUAUAGCAAUUGGCAAAUCCGAAGACAAUAUACGACUCUUUGCACACGACCACUUGGUAGCAUUUUUUGUUUGUUUUUCCACCACCACCGUUACAAAUCUACUUUUCUUCACAUGCUAUUCCCCACAAAAGCAAUUGCAGUACUAUUUUUUGUUUUCACCUUUUUUACCUUGUUGUGCCGCAUGUGCCGAUCUUGUGUGGUUUGUCAUUCCAAUUUGAUGUGCACUAUCUGCAAUAGCGCUUUCCUGCAACUGUGAAGCUUGCCAUGAGACGUUUGCCGAUGUGGUUCCACCGUAACAACCUGCGAUCAUGGUAGCAGUUGGUCAUUGCAUGGCAACUGUAGUUUGUUCAACAUGGCACAUGUAGUGGUCCAACCAUGCCACACAGAUUUGUUCACACUUGUCAUCCACGGUUGUUUAGACAUUGCAGUCACAUUUGAUUAUACAUGGCAACUACAGUUGUCCAGGCAUGACAACUGCAGUUUGUCCAGCCAUGGCAACUGAAGCUGUCCAGGCAUGGCAACUGCAGCUGUCAGAUAUGUUCCUUUCUCCUAACUCACUGUCCACAACUUCACUUUCAUGCACUCACCUAUGUACGACGUUGAUGGCAGGUACAUGGUUGCCGCCUGAUGCCACGUGCUACAUGAAGGUCCUACAUUUUUUCCGAUAUAACUCGUGAGUCUUUUGCCAUCCUUGCAAGUUUAAUUUCAUGUCCACAACAGUAAGUUUCUUUUUCGUAUGCGUUACCUUGAUUUGCCACACUAGCUAGCUGAAGUUGGUUGCCCGUACAUUUGUCAGCGUUAGCGCCCUGUGACGAAACUUGUCAUGCUACCCCCCUGAUUGUGGUUUGGUCAUAAGAACCUGCUAAAAAAUAGAUUGUAGGACAUAAGUAGAAUGACAUCUUCAUCGUCAUGAACAUGGCAACUGUUUCUUCUUUGUUUAUCAUGCAUCGUACCGAUGCCCGCGUAGUGCUCUAGUAGUGGCAGCAAUGGCCCUAAAGAAUUGAGUUGAUUGUACUCUGCUGCAUCCCAAGGUGGCGUUUCCGGCCUUUGAGAAAGCCAAGGAUCAGUGCCAUCUUCGUGAUUCAUUCUUCUGCUUUUUCUUUUCUGCCACUGUGCUUUUAGUCACUGCAUGAACAAGAACGCAUCAACAAUCCGCAAAAAGAGUUCUUGCUGUUUGCACGUAGAAGAUAACACGGCAAUCUCAUAACAUUUAUUGCGUAGGCAACCAACACCUCAUGGCAAGUAGGAAUUGCACAUCCAUUCUCUUUUCUGAAUUCUGGAUGCCAUCUAUCAUUUUGAAGCGAUGGCAACAGAAAAUAAAAUAGGAUGGCAAGCAAUAAGAUAACAUGGUGGCAACUACGGACAACGAUAGAUGGCAACUGACGUUAGAUACAAGUGGCAAUUAUUUUUCCUCCCUCCCCAUGCCAAAUUCCUCCUUUCUCUCCCUAUUUUAUAGUGAUUCCUACGCACGCUUCAUUACCAACUACUCGCAUCAAGCCAACCCAGAAGCUUGGCACAAGUCUAGCAUAGUAUAUGGCAGAUCUAGCGUAUGUUGGUGGGAAAAUGCAAAGACACACAAAUUCGUGGGGUGUUUGCCCUGAUAGCGUGGAUCAAGUCGCCAUCUUCGUGGGAAGAUUUGCAAUUUCAGAUUUCUGGACAAAAGAAGGUCGAGAAACAGAAGGAGAUCGGAGACCACCUGUUUUAGCUCGUCGUCUUGGGAGGGCGGGGUUGGGGUGGGAGGGGGUGGAGGGUGGGGUGGGUGGUUAGCGGUGGGAAGGCGCUAGGGAUCUGCUCUGGUUGCCAUGGCAACCAGAGAAGGAAGGCGACGGAGGUAGGGGGUCGAGAGGUGCGAGACAAUGGCAGCAGGGCGGACUGGGGAUCGGAAGGAGCCCGGGACGGCUGGCGUGCUGGGUCGUGCGGGCAGCGCGGUCGUUUGGCCCGGACGUGUGGGCGGUUUUGCCACACACCGGACGUGCGGGCUGUGGCUGCGCGUGCCCGGACGUGGUCGUGCGGGCGGGUUCUUCUCCAUGCCACACGAGGCGUGCGGCACAACCACCCGAUACACCACACGUGUGGCAGUUAUCGCUGUCCUUUUUUUGCGGAUACUCCAAAAUGGGAUUUCCUCAAAAAAGGUUUAAAAAAUUGAAUUUGGUUAUUAAUCCUAAAUUAUAACAAGUUAAACCAAUCCUACUUAUAUAUUAUCAAGCUUCCAUGGUUUUUCUACAUCAAUAGUUUGAUUAUCUAGUAUAACAAGGAUUACCCGUCUCUGAUGAGGAAGGAGUGAAUAACGGCGGCCUCGGCUCGCACUAGUGAUGGUACUCAUUACUAGGUGGUACACGAAUCUGGAUAUAAUUCAUGUUACUUCUGGUAUUAUUUGUCCUGUUAUAACAGUUUUUCUGAACACGGUACAAAUAUAGACACUCAUACAUACUUACAUGCACUCAUCUGUAUGAAUACACACAUGCACAUCCUGCCCCUAUGAGUAGCUCUGAGAGACUGGACCGCCACAUCAUCUUGAGAUUGACGAAGUCGCCACAUACGCCUUCGUAGUCCACGAGAACAUCUCCUCCCACUGAACACACAUCGCUGAAAGCCCUGAAAUAGAUCCUGAAAAAUGCGAGCAUCGAUGUCAAAUCUAAGAUUUGAACUCCGAUGGGCUAGGAAUACCACUGCCUUCCUAACCAUCCAACCAUAGGUUGGUUCACUCUACUACUAUACCAGUUGAUAAAUAGUUCGGAAGUAUUUUCCGCAUUAAAAAGAAUAUGCAAGACAAAUGGUUUUAAUAAGAUUGCCCUCCGCCACAUUUUGUUAUUUGCAUAUCUAUAUCUUUAUUAUUAAUGAAUAUAAAAUCCAAAGUUAAUAGAAACAUGGUCGUUAUUUGCUUCUUAUCGACUUUUCUUCUUUAUUUGGAUCUUGCUGAAUAAUUACAACCAUAAUAGAACAACUGUUAGAAAUGUGAUAAAGAAGUCAUCAAAUUAUCUUACUAACCAUGACAUGUGAUCAUCACUUCAAAAAAAUUUAUCACAAUUUAUUUUCGAUGAAACCCAUUUAAACCUGUUCUUCUACAAAAAAAUCCUAAAACCCCAUAUUUUGCUAGCUAGAAUUGAUAAAAAAUGAAACAGUAAACUGAAUAAAAAAAUGCAGGUCUAAUAUUAUGAUAUCUCUUCUCCUAGUUCAAAAUUAUAUAUGUAUCCUUUUAAAACAUUAGAAAUAGUUAUAUUAUUAUCACAUGUACAUUAACCUGGAAAUAGUUUAAAAAAAUACUCAUGAUGUAUUUUGGUAUUUUCAGCCUACCCAGUUGAGAACCUCACUGAGCCAUGUUCAAAAACUAUAAACUAAAUAGCAAAUACAGAUAUGAUCCAAGUCGAUGCAUGCCUUGUUCAUCACUCAAACAUCUCCCAAUAAUCCCAAUUUAAUUCAUAGACAUGUAGUUGGCUCUCCUCUACAUUUUUUUGUGUUAAGCUUUUUAUGUGAAAUACCCCAUCCAUUCACCUAGCUAGCACCGAUAACUCCAAUCCCAUUCAUAGACAUGUAUGUUUUAACCUGAAAAUAGUUUUUUUUUUGCCAUGAUUUCCUCUCCAAUAGCUUCCCAACGCGCCUACCCUUUUCUCACACCCUGUGAUUUNNNNNNNNNNNNNNNNNNNNNNNNNNNNNNNNNNNNNNNNNNNNNNNNNNNNNNNNNNNNNNNNNNNNNNNNNNNNNNNNNNNNNNNNNNNNNNNNNNNNNNNNNNNNNNNNNNNNNNNNNNNNNNNNNNNNNNNNNNNNNNNNNNNNNNNNNNNNNNNNNNNNNNNNNNNNNNNNNNNNNNNNNNNNNNNNNNNNNNNNNNNNNNNNNNNNNNNNNNNNNNNNNNNNNNNNNNNNNNNNNNNNNUGCUACUAUGGCCAUAUCCUAUUAUUCAUUGGCUUGGCUUGCCUUGGAACGUAGACCUUCAUACUUUGGUCCUCUUUUAACUACAGAAAUCUGACGUGUCAUGUGGAUCCGAGUGGUCUCAGAAGGCGCAUAACAAGGUGUGUGGGUGUUCGGUUCAUGUUCAGCGUGUCAAGGUUGUGAAAUAUGGUGUGCUAGCUCAGCAUGUGGGCACGACAACACAAGAUGACUCGGUUUGGUCAUAUUCAUUGAGUACCACUCUUGAGCUCCAUGGUGAAAACUCCAGUUUUGAUCCCCACCAAUGGCAAUGGUUGUGCGAUGUUCUAUUGGUGAUGGAAUUUCAUGGAGAUUACACAAACUUGCUCUUCAGAGGGAAAACCCAUGAUCAUGUCUUACUGGUUGGUUUUGAUGACGAUGACACUCGUGCAUUGUUCCCUUCAUGGAAGCUUCGCUUUUGAAGAGCAUUUCUCAUAGUAUGGGUGUUUUGAGUUUUUGUUGUUGCAUGUCGUUGGAGGUCAUGUUUUUUUUUCCUUUGUAAUAAUUUAACUAUGUGCAUCCUCAAUAUUUUGACCAACUCUUGACAUUAUGUUUGCAUAGACCGGAGGUACAUGAUACCAACUUAAUAUUAAUGUAUAUAUUGUCCUUUUGAAAAAAGACCACCCAAUAGUGUUGGGCCAAGGUCGUUUCCGUCGCAGAUUACACAAUAAAGCAUUUUCGCGUAGUCCCCUGCAGGAUUACCAUUUUCUUAAGCAGCCAACACAAUAAUUGACUAUCAUUGGUUUCACAGAGCGCAACGCAAUUGGAAUGCCACUAAGAGCAUGAGCUAUGUGUGGCACCAACAAGGUGCCAAAGAUUGACACUCCACAUCAUGUCUACUUUAGCAAAGAUUAAUAUUGCAAUGUGUAGUACCUCUCUCAAAAUCCAAAGGAGACAUUACAAAUUGUUUUUGGGGACAUUAAUAUAGCUAAUAACAAUGUGUAAUGUCCCCCAAAACAGAAUUUGCAAAUAGACAAAUACAGUGAGGAAAUAAUAUUUUGCUUGUUUCUUUUCAUGCUGUGAGACUCUUGGCUCGAUGCUACCUGAGGCAUCAAUGCCAGAGAAAAUCUAACUUGACCCCCCUCCUACUACAAUGGCAAAUCUAAGAUAACAUCAGCAUACGAACACAUGCUCAAGCUCUAAAAACUUAAGAUCACAACACUAUAAAUACCAAAAAAAAAAACAACAAAUGAUGUACAAUGAAGUCAAUUUUUGACUAACGACAUUGAACCGUGACAAAUUUAGACAAGUAAAGAAAAUAAAACAUCUCAAUAUUUAAACAACACAUUAAAAGUCUGAAUGACUGUACAUUUGCACUUAAAAUUCUUCAAUAACCUGGUUGGAGGAGAGGUACGUAUUUCCUUAGAAAACUUACAAUACUUGAAAUACUCAACAACACACAUCAGUACAAAGGCGAAGAAAUGACAGUAUCACGUGGAACGAAUAAGUGUUCGUCGUACAGUAGGACAAGCGGUCAUUGUUGGAAUCCUCUUGAAAUCCUUCUCACCCCAACCGUAGUGCUGCUCAUUUGACGUUGCAGUUUUACAGAGUUCAUCUUGAUCCUGCGCAGGCGAUGAGCGGCAUUAGCAUUCACAUAAGCAGAAAUGGAACGAAACAGAUUGUUGUGCUCACCUUGCUUCUUCCGUCUUAGCAAGCAAAAGAUUAGUACUGCCGCCGAUACUACCACCACAAACCCAGCUAUAGGGACGGCUAUGUAGAGGACUAGCUUAUUGCUCUUCUUGCAUGAACUGCCACCAAUGCAAACGCCUGAAAACGAUGGAAAAUAUGUUAUAACCUAUUACCCCUUUCCAAAAGUACAUGACGCUUAAUCAGAUUUAACUCCUUUAAAAUGAUUUAGAUUUAUUAGAUAGAUAUUUGUGUAACUAUAUUUUCUGUCACAAAUAGUUUCAAAACAUAUGUCGUUCGUAAAUGUUAACAUACAUGUUUGGUAGUAGAAAAAUAUCAAUCAAAGUUGCAUGUUGGAUACCGUGUACAAGUCUGUUAAAAUGUUGCUCCAUAAGCGGAUUGUUUUUUUUAAAUCAACCUUCACAAACUUUGAGCAAUUUUAUUAAAAAAAUUAUCUUAGUAUAUACCAUAUAAAAACAUAUUUUAUGAUGAUUUGCGGAGAAUAUUUUAAGAUGUAUCUAAUGGUAUUGACUUGGGCUUGUAGGUGUUGAUAAUUUUAUAAAGUAGGUCAAAGCUCACAAAAUUUGACUUCAAAAAUAUCUAAUACACAUUAUAUUUUGAGGCUGAAGGGGCAUAUAUUUUAGAUCGUGCAGUGAGCAUACCCUGGGACUCGGAGCUGGAGUUAGUGACUGGAGUGGUUGCCCCAUCCUUGGACCCGGCGUUAGUGAUGGGAGUGGGCGAGGGUGUACCAUCCUCGGACUCGGUGUCGACCUUAGUGGUGGGCAUGAUGGAGAAGAUCUCGAAGGCAUUGAGAAUCGGCAGCAGCGUCGAGCCGGCGGUGGGUUCGAGGGAGAUGCUAAUGGUGCCUUGUUGGUCGGGAACAAUGGGACCGUAGAUGGCACCACUGGAGAGGUAUUUCGGUGUGAUAGCAUCUGAGGACCAUUGCUUGCCGUUGAGGUUGACGUAGAACUGGCGCACGGCAUUGCCUCUGAGAAUGCGCAGCUCCGCGAUGUGCAGGAUAGCGAUGUACCCGGGCGAUGGAUUGUUGGGCUCAGGCUGAGGGUGCAUGAUGAUCUCUAUGAGCGCGGAGGCGUUCCGGGCAGUAAUCGCUGAGUCCAUUACCUCCGUUGGCACCUGGAAAGGGUCAUCGUUUGGGUUCUGCACCCUUCUAAACGUUGUGAUGCUGGGUUAUUCCGCUGUGGUAUCCACUGGUCUCCAUAUUCGGUCAUGUGGGUCAUCAGGGUAUCUGCACAAUCCAUAUCAAUUGUGUUAUGUGGUUAGUGGUGCUCCAUGAAGCAAAAAUACAGAACAGUCUUGCUAAAUCUUAGUUGAUUGAGACUUGGUUGUGCCUCUAUCGAUGCUACAUUUGUAAGAUCUUACAUUAAAAUUUAUGCAUUUUUUUCUUUUUUCUUACUUACAUGUUAUAGCACUCGACCGAGACUUGGACAAAGUCUCAAUCAACUGAGACAUAUCCACACCCAAAACAGAAACCAAACUAAUUAGAGGAAUAAAACUCUUACGGAUUUUCUUUCUAAAAACAUUAGACGUAGAGACGCGCAUACACUCACCUUAUCACACGUGUUUUGCUCCCUGUGCCGAGGUCAAACCUGCUGUGCAGGUUCAGGCCCUGCUUCGCGCUCGCAUCUGGAUAGAGCAUGCUCUUAAGCGGCCUGAGCUCCAGCCCCGUGAUGAACGGCGUCCCGGCGCCGGUGUUCACCAGGCAGACAUGCACGUAGUCGUUCGGCACGACCACCAUGGCCUCCGCGAAUAAAAACUGGUCCGGUGCCGCCCGUGACAUGUUCAUGGUCGUCCAGAAGUUGGCGCCGAUGUAGAGGUCAAAGAUGGGUGUUGUGUUAAGGCCGUCGUAGUUGCCAUACAAGAACCACGCGCGGAUGAGGUACUUGAGCCCGGGCACCAGGGACCGGAUCUUGUAGCAGUUACGCUUACCAUCGGGGAAGCUGCGCACCGUCUUGAAUAGCUUAAAGGCCACCGUGCUCAUGUACUCGACGGAGAUGUCGUGGUUGGAGCCAGCAGUGGUGAAGCCGACAUCCGGGGCGAACUGCAGCUGUUGCCUAGUAUCGCUUUCUAUGUACAUCUCCCCCGCAUAUCCGCAGUCUAUGCUUAUGAAACCUGCGGUGCGAUGCAGAAGUACACAUUAAAAUCUUUCUAGCUAGCACUACCAGCGAAAAGACCAUGACAAGAAAGAAACAGACCAAUAUUCACCAGAAAUGUAUAGGCCCACAAGAAAAGGUAAGAAUAAAAUGUUGCUGUAAAAUACAGACCAGGCCCUGCAACAAUGAUCGAACAGGCAAACUACAAAAAUGUAUCUUGUGCGCGCAUGCGAAACAGACCACAAGUAUUGAGCAUACCUUUGCUGUCAGCCUGGGCACGAGCUUGAUGUAGCAUGCUGCCAGCGGCAGCAACCGCGAGGCAGAGAAAUGGCAACCACCGCAUUGCCGCCAUUGUUCUCGCCGUCGACGUGCAAGAAGCUAAUGCAUGGAUUGAGCACGAUGAGUAUGUUUUAACGCCAGGUGCGGUUCCAUGCCUAUAUGUAGGAGUACAACACACAUCAUUAGUACGCGUUGACAUUGAACAAGUAAUUAAACCUCUCGGCAUGAGCGGUUAGCCAUCUUAAAUAAAACAAAUUAACAAUCAACAUUGAACGAGUACUUAAUUAUGAAAGUGGUAAUUCAUUAGUUCUCACAUUAGCUGGCUAAUGAGCAGCACCACGUCGUCAUACUUAAUAAGUUUACAACUUGCACGGCGCCAUGCGUCAACGCCCGAUCGAGCCGGGGCAAAUGCAGUGAUCAAGUCAUUGACGAGUGGGCCCUGUUCUAGGCUUAACGCCUCUUUGUGGUUUCCACUUGACUUUGAACUUGUCAACGUGCUUGCUGGGGCGAAAGACUCUUCUUUUGAAGCUGUCUUCUUUACAGUAGCUGAACACCUCUUCUUUUGAAGUUGUCGCCUCUAUCUAACCCUCAAUCGUUUUUCCUGACUUUUUCUCUGUAGCAGGAGAUGGAAAAUGCUUGUUCGUGAUUUGCGGAGGUAAACAAUUGGUUGAAACGGUAAUGUAACAGACCACGAGGUCGCAGUUAACUUACUGUAUGUCAUAAAAUUCCCAAGAUGGGAUAUCAAGGAGGUUAACUCUUAUGAGGGAGACGCUAAACGUCGGUCAGGCAGGGGGUGUGCCUGAUCGGCUGCUCCCCACCCUCCAAUUCAACUUAAAAUGUUGCUUCUCGUGUGUGUACAUUCAUCGCUAUGAGAGCAAAUAUCCAUCUGCAAUAUUUUAUUUCUACGUAUGCAACAACGUUGCAACAUUCUUCUUGUGUACGAAAAAAGUUGCGACAUCUCAGACACAUCCAUGCAGAAAUAUUAUAUGCAAUAGAUCUCCAUUGGUUGCAACAAAUAAGUAAGAGAAAUCACCCCGACAUUUUCCGCAUAGAAGCCAAAAUCUGCAACAAUAUGAAAUCAAGCUAAAAAAAAUGUGAAAUCAAAAUUUCAACAUAAACACAAAAAAUGCAGCAGAUGCCCAAAAUCAUUGUGACAUGUCACAGGUGUCUUGCAAUCAAACGUACACGAGCUCGCAACUUUUUAAACACAACAUAUGCAACAUUGAAAAAAAAACAUUACAACCAAAAGUGGGAGCACCUACAUUGCCAUCGCUGGCUCGUCGGAGCCCUGUCAUUGCUAUAUUUUACGGGACCAAAGUCUCCCCAGCUCCACCAGUCUGCCGAGUUGUAACAAUGUCGGAUAAGUGUGACAUGACUUUCAUGUGCUGCAUGGGCCACAACAUAAACACCUACUCAUCGACGUUGGUCUGGCGAAGAGGGACACAACUAGUGAGUUGAUGGGGCGGUAAAGGGUAUGGUUAUGGGACAGCUAUGGUUGUUGUUACUUUUGCACGCGAUGGGGUAGAAGAAAGCAGGAUGCCACACUCGGCCCAAGCUUUAGCGAGAUGGUGCAGCAGACACCGUAGCGGCGGCGCCAUUUAGCACGGCAGCAACACUCUUGGUGUAGUUCACCAUCAGGCCAGAGGAAGGUCCAAAUCUGUCUCUAAAUUAGAUGUUCGUUUAUUGAUAAUCAGCGGGAAGCAGCAAUCUAUACACAUCAAACUGAAGAUAAUAUACACUGAUAUUUAUCUUGAUGUGAUUUCCAACGAAAGAGAACCUAAACAUCUCAAAAUAUCAACCUUCGCAAUGACAACUUGUUUGUGAUUACUCUCCCAUACUGUCCUGCCAGACUAAAAUAUGUAGUGAUCGUCCAUAUGGGUGUUUUUUCAGUCUUAAUGGACAAAACAAAAUCUACAACGUAUAUUGGAUUCAAAUCAUAAUGCGUCCAAAUAAUGGAAUAAAAACUUAAAAGAAUAUGCAACCUCGUAUGAUUAAGUCAAGUGCAAGGCAAGAUAGCAACUAAUGUGAAGUGUGAACACACAAGAAUAUAAAACCUGGUACAUACAUGACUUAGAUGAAAUAUACAUUACCCGUCGACUUUGUUCAUUUGCUGCUGCAGUCCACCAUCGAGUAUCUUCUCAGGAGAGUAGAGUAGGCCGCCAACAGUAUCUCACUGGGGACACCACACCAUCGCCAACAUCCACCACCGCAGACCAUCGCAUAGAGAAACAGAGGCCGAGUGUGUACCUACGAGACGCCGCCUGUGUGCAGCACGAGGGCCGGCCUCGGUGGGGUGGAGACAGGAGGUUUAUGGCAUGGACUCGAACAAGAGGAGGCUGGCGGCAGCGAAGGCCACACGCGCGCGGCCAUGUAUGUUCCUGAGAGGAAAUUGAAAAUUGAGGAGAAAAGCAUUUCAGCAAACACUUUGAAGGCAACAUGAUCAAGGUAGCCGUACGUGCCCGCCCGCCGGCCACCGUCACGUGCAUGGCCGCCCCCCAUGCAUGGUCUGCGUGCACCUCCACGACAAACACAGGAAGGACGGAGUUGGCCGGGCGACCGGCGUCCUGCGCUUAGCAAGAAGGGGGUGGCGGAGCUUCCUCACCGGUCUGCCGAGGAGGCGCGCCUAGUUGAACGACACGAAGGGCACAUCGGCAACCGCGUCAGUCCGUCUCGUCGUCCGCUGUGGCUCGGCCGCUGGGUGCCGAUUUCAGAGGAGGGAUGGGUGCUCGUGGACGGGAUCACCUGCGAGGGCGGCGCCCGGCGGUACAGUGGCUCCCUCACAUCCUCAGAACGGGGGCGCACCACAUCCUCAGCCUCCACAACAUCUUUCCUCAGCGGAAACAGACUGGCGAGUCGUUGGUAUCCUUGACCAACCGCAGAUCGGGAGGGGAGAGGCGGAGGAGUGGUGGAGGCGAGAGAAAUCAGGUGGACUGAGCGGGGAGGAGAGGCGGCCACAACUCGGGAGAAGCAAAACGCUGGGAGAGGAGUGAGAGGAGCCUUUUGGAGAUAAACUUAUAAACAUUUUACUCCUACUUAACUCUCCAAACUAAUCCUCUCUUUCUCUGAAUCUAACUAGGGUGGGCUCCUCCAUUCCCUUAUUAGUUACUACCAAUCAUAAUUCUUCACAUCAGCUUGUUUGAAAAGAAAAAAAAGUAAUCUUUUGUAGAUGUAGCAUUGCUCCGUUGGGGAUAACAUAAUAACAUUUUAUUAUUUCCACUAGGGGAUAUUUUCAAGACUGAGAUUGCCAUGAUUACUUAUCUGAGCGAAGUAUAACAUGAAUAACAAUUUAUGUGGAUUAAUUGAUGGUUUUUCAUGAGGUAAAGGUGGAUCCAUGUAGUGGAUGUGAAUCACGGAAUAGGUAUUCAGGGAGCCACCCAGCCUCCUCACCGCUCGAGAUUCCUGGCCGUCGAUCAGUUUUCAGAUCUGUUCUGGACCGUUCGAUCUCGCCCUCAGAUGAUAUCGGCCGUCGGAUCAAGAAACGGCACUGACAAUGAAUAGUAGGUCUCAUUCGAUUUUUCUUACUGACUUUUCUUACUCCGGAAUUAUGGUCUUGCCUCGCUGGCCUGUGGGGUUCAUCCCUGGUGGGCCGCGGCUGUCAGCGACAGUGGAAGUUGGUCUGGCAUGUGCUUGCGUAAAUGGGCGCAGGGGUCGUGCCACCGCCUGAAAUUUCGGUUCCCCGCUGAGGGCAUUUAUGGGAUUUCAUGUAGCCCCUUGCCACGCGGUUUCCCCCAAUUCGUUGCUUCAUCCCCAAUCGCAAGAGACCUAGGUCAUCUCUCUCUCCUCCCCCGUCUCUCUCUCCCUCGCAUCUCUCUCGCGCCGCCGUCGACAUGAGAGCGCAGCGCACUCCGGCGUUCUUCCUCCUUCGUCCCCCCUUUUUGCACCCCAAGCCACAACCUCUCUUGUGUGCCUCCUUUCUCCUCCCCAUCGGGACCAGGCAGGGGAGGAGCAGCGCGGGCCACGGAGACGACGAGGUGGCCGAGCUGCCCGUGGCGCCGUCGCCGUACCUCACGACCCAACAGGAGGUGUGUCGGCCGCAAAGAUGGUAGAGGUCUCCUCCACUCACUCUCUCGCCGCCGCAGGAGGAGUGCGCGCAGGGGGUGGCGGGUCAAGGUCCGCUCGGCGGCGGCGCCCGCUGAACGGCGGAUCCAUGCGCACCCUCUCCGACGACCUCCCGGGCACGCACCCGCUGGAAACGGCGAGGACCACACACUCCGUCCACCACCGGCCACCAGGAGUAGCAGGACCACCACUGUUUCCUGUCCUCUUUGAUUCGAGAUCCACGCUGCUCCACUUCGUCCAGGUUCACAUCUCCCUCCCCCACCCCUCUCUCUCUCUCUCACGGCACUCGAUUCCCUCUUAUUUUGAGAAUGGAAGUGGCCUGAAAGCCACUUGACUGAAUUUGCCAUCUCUUGCAAAGUGCCAGUGCCAUGAUAAUUAGAUGCCUGCAGGGGAUCUUCUUUUCAUUGAAACAUUUACCUAUGAUAUUGAGCAUAGUUCACUUUUUCUUGAAUUUUGCUGCCAUGUAUGUGUUACUUGGAAAUUUAGCCAUCGAGCAUGUGCUUGGGCAUGGUUUAACAUUGCAGAAUAAUUGUUUGAUGUAGGUGGGGUUCUCUGUUUUGUGCAAAGUGCAGACUGAGAUGGUUUCUUGAAGCAACCAAUCAUUACAACAUAAUACUGCUGCUACCGGUAAUUUCUACUUUUUGUUCUUUUCAGUCAGUACUUACUUAUUUAGUGACAUUAUCGAAAUCAACUUCAGUUUUGUUAUUUGAUUGCCUCCAGUUUUUUUCUUGCAUGUAGGUCAACAAUCCAAUUUUGGUAUUUGAUUUCCUCCAUUCUAUUCUUACAGGUCAUUAAUAUGAAUUUGGUAUCUAAUUGAUUUGUGGUGGCUGGCAAUUAUUUAGGCUUCAGGUCAGUAAGAAUAACAUGAAUAACAAUUUAUGUGGAUUAAUUGAUGGUUUUUCAUGAGGUAAAGGUGGAUCCAUGUAGUGGAUGUGAAUCACGGAAUAGGUAUUCAGGGAGCCACCCAGCCUCCUCACCGCUCGAGAUUCCUGGCCGUCGAUCAGUUUUUAGAUCUGUUCUAGACCGUUCGAUCUCGCCCUCAGAUGAUAUCGGCCGUCGGAUCAAGAAACAACACUGACAAUGAAUAGUAGGUCUCAUUCGAUUUUUCUUACCGACUUUUCUUACUCCGGAAUUACGGUCUUGCCUCGCUGGCCUGUGGGGUUCAUCCCUGGUGGGCCGCGGCUGUCAGCGACAGUGGAAGUUGGUCUGGCAUGUGCUUGCGUAAAUGGGCGCAGGGGUCGUGCCACCGCCUGAAAUUUCGGUUCCCCGCUGAGGGCAUUUAUGGGAUUUCAUGUAGCCCCUUGCCACGUGGUUUCCCCCAAUUCGUUGCUUCAUCCCAAUCGCAAGAGACCUAGGUCAUCUCUCUCUCCUCCCCCGUCUCUCUCUCCCUCGCAUCUCUCUCGCGCCGCCGUCGACAUGAGAGCGCAGCGCACUCCGGCGUUCUUCCUCCUUCGUCCCCCCUUUUUGCACCCCAAGCCACAACCUCUCUUGUGUGCCUCCUUUCUCCUCCCCAUCGGGACCGGGCAGGGGAGGAGCAGCGCGGGCCACGGAGACGACGAGGUGGCCGAGCUGCCCGUGGCGCCGUCGCCGUACCUCACGACCCAACAGGAGGUGUGUCGGCCGCAAAGAUGGUAGAGGUCUCCUCCACUCACUCUCUCGCCGCCGCAGGAGGAGUGCGCGCAGGGGGGUGGCGGGUCAAGGUCCGCUCGGCGGCGCCGCCCGCUGAACGGCGGAUCCAUGCGCACCCUCUCCGACGACCUCCCGGGCACACACCCGCUGGAAACGGCGAGGACCACACACUCCGUCCACCACCGGCCACCAGGAGUAGCAGGACCACCACUGUUGCCUGUCCUCUUUGAUUCGAGAUCCACGCUGCUCCACUUCGUCCAGGUUCACAUCUCCCUCCCCCACCCCCCUCUCUCUCAUGGCACUCGAUUCCCUCUUAUUUUGAGAAUGGAAGUGGCCUGAAAGCCACUUGACUGAAUUUGCCAUCUCUUGCAAAGUGCCAGUGCCAUGAUAAUUAGAUGCCUGCAGGGGAUCUUCUUUUCAUUGAAACAUUUACCUAUGAUAUUGAGCAUAGUUCAUUUUUCUUGAAUUUUGCUGCCAUGUAUGUGUUACUUGGAAAUUUAGCCAUCGAGCAUGUGCUUGGGCAUGGUUUAACAUUGCAGAAUAAUUGUUUGAUGUAGGUGGGGUUCUCUGUUUUGUGCAAAGUGCAGACUGAGAUGGUUUCUUGAAGCAACCAAUCAUUACAACAUAAUACUGCUGCUACCGGUAAUUUCUACUUUUUGUUCUUUUCAGUCAGUACUUACUUAUUUAGUGACAUUAUCGAAAUCAACUUCAGUUUUGUUAUUUGAUUGCCUCCAGUUUUUUUCUUGCAUGUAGGUCAACAAUCCAAUUUUGGUAUUUGAUUUCCUCCAUUCUAUUCUUACAGGUCAUUAAUAUGAAUUUGGUAUCUAAUUGAUUUGUGGUGGCUGGCAAUUAUUUAGGCUUCAGGUUAGUAAGAAUCCCCCCCCCCCAAUCAAAUAUAUGCUAUUUUCCUCCAUUUUGUUCCCAUCUGAUAUCCAGUAGAUGUGAAUCUUAUUCCUUUUCCGUGAAAAGCUACAAUUUUUUUACUGGCACUACUUUACUAUCUUCCAAGGUGUGCUUCCAUUUAAAUUUUGCAGGUCCUUUCAAUCAUUCAUAUUGCCUCUUGAUAUGUUUUACCGGAAGGGAAAUGCAUCCUCUGCUUGAACUUAUGAGCUUUCUGUGUUUAUUUAUUUAUUUCUUGAGUUCAUGCAUUCCUUAGGUUACGCCAUGUUAAUAAAAGCCCAUUAUGUGAUCAGGUAUUCAUACUUGGACCAUAUGACAAUCCUACCAUAGCCACUGCAGCUUGAUGACUGUGUAGUUGCUAGGUGCAGAGGGUGUUGCUAAUAAAUGGCCAUUACUUGAUUAGGUGUUAAUGCUCUACUCAAAUUGCACUGAUAUUGAUCUUAAGAUGUCAAGCUUUUUUAUUAAGUGGUCUUCCUCGACUAAAAUAUCACGGUCUUUCUCUUCUGGUCACUCGCAACGGAUGUUAUGUUUCUUUUUUUGAAGUAUAUUUGGAUGUCUGAAGUUUUUUUCUUGAAUUAUGGCUAUCUUUUAUAGUAGUAAUGCUAAUUUGAGUCAAUAUAUCGGUGUUCCGUACCAUCCUAAAAAUGCGUCUCUGGUCACAGUCAUAGUUCUUAAUUUUCAUUGGAUUCCUAUAUGGUUUCUGAAUAUUUGAUGUUCUGAAUAUUAAGGAAUUACUUAAUUUCUAAAAUAUGUGCAUAUCCUGUUAUCAUCAUUGAGGGAAUCAAUUGGCACAAUUUUAGUGUGUACGUAUAGUUGAUUAAUAUUCAAAAUGUCAUGCUAUGUAACCAUGGGGUUUAGUUUUGCAUCAUGCUUGCCUCUAUAGUUUUGCUUGCUUAAUGGUCCUACUCCAUUGAGUGUUGCUCUUUUACCAAGAGUUAAUUUUCCUUUGGAAGUAUAAAGUUUUAAGCUUCAGAUGUGGUUUAUUAUGUUCCGAUUGGUCCUACUUUCAUACGAUAGAAUGCUGAUAAUUAAUUUUUCAUGCUGAUAGAUGUUGCCCCACCAUUCCAAACAAAAUGUGUAACCAGGCCACCCCUAGGUAUGUUCUUUUUUCAGGUUGGGUAAAAAAGCACUCGACACGAGUCUACCGAGGGCGUCGCCGGCAUAGACACGGUAGACUCGAGGGCAUCGCCAGAAGUCUGCAGGAGGUGGCGAAGCAGACUAGCCGAUGAUGAGAGAUACUAACAGAAAAGGCUGAGACUGGAAAAAGGGAAAGGGAUACGGUGCUCUGGCCAUCGAUUUUAUUGCGAAAGGCAGGGGUUGUCGUGGCCGCGUGAAACGAAAUGUGUAACCAGGCCACCGCUAGGUAUGUUCUUUUUUCAGGUUGGGUAAAAAAGCACUCGACACGAGUCUACCGAGGGCGUCGCCGGCAUAGACACGGUAGACUCGAGGGCAUCGCCAGAAGUCUGCAGGAGGUGCAGCAAAGAGGUCCUAGCGACCAUGGCAGCACAUCCGCGGCUGGUCCACCUCUGGCUGCUUCUCCACCACCAAGCGCCUGCCCCACAUGUGUUUCUUUUCUCCCAGGAGUGGACUGUAGCCAGGGAGAGCGGCCAGAGGAGCAAGGACGGUCAGCCCCUGCCUCCUCUCCUGCACGGCUGCACGUGAUGGGGAUUACGAGCAGCGUACGUGGUGAGCUACCCGCCUGCCCCUCCUACCCCCCAAAUCUACAUGUACAUCCCCUGAUUGACCGAAACUGGUUUGGAUGUUUAGUUUCCUCUUUAUGAUUCAUUAAAUCACUUUUUGAUUCAAGUAAACUCAAGUUAAUCUACAUGAAGCAGUGACUGAUAAAUUUCCAACAGAAAAUACCACUUAUAUACUUACUACGUAGUUGAACAUACCACAUUACAUGUCACUGGUGAUGUGAAGUUAAUCUCUCUUGAAGAGACCAUCAGGAAAAGAAUCUCUUGCAAGUGUUUGUGGAUCCAUCAUUCAUGGAUUUUUCCAACUACUCAAUAGCCUGAUUCCUACAUCUCAAGGAUUUAUUUUUGUUGGUAUAAACUAGCUAGCUGUUGGGCUUCCUUGGCAUGCAUCUCGCGUUUUACACGGAUGAUGAAAAAUGAAUUGUAAAACUUGUUGCUUUUUCUUAGUAUAUAUAUGCCGUUCAAAGGAUUUCCAAGGAAUCGGACCAAGUUGAUGAUCAGUUUCAUACUAAUACUUUGAUGCAUGGUAUGUGUGGUAGUCGUUCAAGAUGCAUGCCAUAUCUAGCUUCAAUUAACUGAAAACAUCCUUGUUUCGCAGAUUUUGGCAAGUACAGAUGAUAAAGAUUCAUGAUUUGGCUGCGCGCAUGCUUGCUGGCUGGAGGUACUUGCAGCUAUAAAGAAUCAUGAUUUGGCACUUACUAAAAUACCGCGUCUACAUGUUUUAUGAUUGACGCUGCGCUAUAACUGUAGGAGUUUGAUUCAUUACUUAAUGGCCUCAAAAUGGAUACAGGAUCUGUUGGAAUCAAGAAGGCGUUAAGGUAGCCCACUUGAUCUACUUUAGCUCCAUGCUUUAUUAAUGGCCAGCUUACUUACUUUGAUAUACAACACUUAUGUUGAUUGACAUCAACUCCACGAUUCAACUAGCAUAGUGAUGUGAAAUAUUCAUGCAGUGUGUCGAAACUGUUCCAAAAAAUCAAAUAAAUGGACCUGCGUCGAAAGGGUAGCGCUGCUACUUGGUUAAGUCAAACAUUAAUGUCGAUGCACAUGUCAAAACUGUAGGAUUGCAAUUUAUAUUUUGUUGGAAGAUGGCAGACUUUCUUUUUUCUACACAAGGGCUAUCAAGGCUGCUGUGUACUAUAGCACCUGUACUUUUCCUCAUUCAAGUAGAUUGAACCUGAUGCAUUUCUAUGCAAGGGAAUUUAAAUUAUGUCUGAUCUGUACCAGGACGACGUCAAAAGCAAAAGGAACUAAGGAAGGGUUCUCGAGGUCUGCUCCUUCUCCACCGGUAGAGAGGAGCCUCCUUCUCAUGAUUCGCCUGUCUGCCCGGGCCCUCCCCGGCUAAAGCUGACGCCAUGGAAGGCCCCUUACCCCUCUUCCUCCUCUCUUCUGUUCCCUCUUUGUUAUAGGCGCAGUCAAUUUUUUUUGUUCUUUCUCUCUUUCCAAUUUAAACAUGAGCAUGCCCGUGCUCUCUUUUUGGUUGUGGUAGCUGUCAUAUCAUGUUGCAAUUUAGUUACAUUUUUUGGUCCCAUGUAUAUCCAAAUCAAAAAACACUUGUGGUGUGGUACAGUUAUAUUGCAAGUCGAAAAAUAUUAUAUGUGUUAACAUCGGAUGGUCCAAGUUGAAAUUCAGUUUGUAUUAUUCAAUAUGCAUUCUAACAAACAUGUUCUGUUUGGCAUCAUACUAUCAUUCAACUUAAAAGAUGCUUAACCGGUUAACCCAAUUUAAAAUCUUAGGGAGACGCUUAUUUUGGGACGGAGGGAGUACUUUGUAUUGAAUCAUAUCUAUAUUGUGCUUGCCCCUAAAUUGUUGCUUUACACUAAACCACUAUUGCUAUAUUAUGCAUUGAUAUGAGUUUUUGACGCUUCCGACUGAAAAUCAAGUUUUUUAUGGAGAUUAUGCCCUUAUGUGAGUCUCCAGGCCUUGCUGAGUAUUUUUAUUGUUGUGAAGGCAUCAUCAUAGAUGAUUGUAGUUACAUUGCCUCCUUCACACUUACAUCCACCAUUAAUCAUGUAAGCACUCCUUUUUUACACAUAAAAUCAAGUGAAUGUUGUACUUCCAAACCAAUUAGCACGUUUCAGUUUGAUAAAUAUUGUGCAUUGAUCCUGCACUUUUGACAAAUUUAUGUUCAUGACAUCUCCAGUUUUACUCCUGUUUUCAUUCUUUGUGCUUCUCAGCGGCUCCAUGGAUACAUGGAAGCCGCCAUCAUUUUGUCGGACUAAGUGUGGAGUUACUUGUGCAAGUUCCACCAUCAACAAACACAAAGUUCUGCAUGCUAUCAUCGCAAGUAAAGCAGUCAAUUUGUUAGGGAGAAAACAAAGGCUUGUGUGCUCAUUAGUUUUUUUUGUUCUAUCAUGUGUGCACCUUAUCUAUCUGUAACAUGUGACCUGUGCAACUGCAAAAAUGUUAGACAAUAAAAAUUCUGUGUAACACAUGUUCUUAUACACUUUGCCUAUAGAAACUAUGCAUAGUUAUUCCCUUUUUUGUUGCCUUGUGUAAUAUAUAUUGUAAAGAAAUUGUCGUGACCUACUGAACCUUGCACUUUUG